rnacentral:rRNA from 1 species
AAUCCAUAGGUUAAUGAGGCGAACCGGGGGAACUGAAACAUCUAAGUACCCCGAGGAAAAGAAAUCAACCGAGAUUCCCCCAGUAGCGGCGAGCGAACGGGGAGGAGCCCAGAGCCUGAAUCAGCAUGUGUGUUAGUGGAAGCGUCUGGAAAGGCGCGCGAUACAGGGUGACAGCCCCGUACACAAAAGCGCAUGUGCUGUGAGCUCGAUGAGUAGGGCGGGACACGUGGUAUCCUGUCUGAAUAUGGGGGGACCAUCCUCCAAGGCUAAAUACUCCUGACUGACCGAUAGUGAACCAGUACCGUGAGGGAAAGGCGAAAAGAACCCCGGCGAGGGGAGUGAAAAAGAACCUGAAACCGUGUACGUACAAGCAGUGGGAGCACCCUUUGGGUGUGACUGCGUACCUUUUGUAUAAUGGGUCAGCGACUUAUAUUCUGUAGCAAGGUUAACCGAAUAGGGGAGCCGGAGGGAAACCGAGUCUUAACCGGGCGUUAAGUUGCAGGGUAUAGACCCGAAACCCGGUGAUCUAGCCAUGGGCAGGUUGAAGGUUGGGUAACACUAACUGGAGGACCGAACCGACUAAUGUUGAAAAAUUAGCGGAUGACCUGUGGCUGGGGGUGAAAGGCCAAUCAAACCGGGAGAUAGCUGGUUCUCCCCGAAAGCUAUUUAGGUAGCGCCUCGUGAAUUCAUCUCCGGGGGUAGAGCACUGUUUCGGCUAGGGGGCCAUCCCGGCUUACCAACCCGAUGCAAACUGCGAAUACCGGAGAAUGUUAUCACGGGAGACACACGGCGGGUGCUAACGUCCGUCGUGAAGAGGGAAACAACCCAGACCGCCAGCUAAGGUCCCAAAGUCAUGGUUAAGUGGGAAACGAUGUGGGAAGGCCCAGACAGCCAGGAUGUUGGCUUAGAAGCAGCCAUCAUUUAAAGAAAGCGUAAUAGCUCACUGGUCGAGUCGGCCUGCGCGGAAGAUGUAACGGGGCUAAACCAUGCACCGAAGCUGCGGCAGCGACACUGUGUGUUGUUGGGUAGGGGAGCGUUCUGUAAGCCUGUGAAGGUGUGUCGUGAGGCAUGCUGGAGGUAUCAGAAGUGCGAAUGCUGACAUAAGUAACGAUAAAGCGGG